rnacentral:rRNA from 1 species
GACGAACGCUGGCGGCGUGCCUAAUACAUGCAAGUCGAACGAGAGCAACCGGUGCUUGCACUGGUCAAUCUAGUGGCGAACGGGUGAGUAACACGUGGGUAACCUGCCCAUCAGAGGGGGAUAACAUCCGGAAACGGAUGCUAAAACCGCCUAGGUCUUCGAACCGCAUGGUUUCAAGAGGAAAAGAGGCGCAAGCUUCUGCUGAUGGUUGGACCCGCGGUGCAUUAGCUAGUUGGUGAGGUAACGGCUCACCAAGGCCGUGAUGCAUAGCCGACCUGAGAGGGUGAUCGGCCACAUUGGGACUGAGACACGGCCCAAACUCCUACGGGAGGCAGCAGUAGGGAAUCUUCCGCAAUGGACGCAAGUCUGACGGAGCAACGCCGCGUGAGUGAAGAAGGUUUUCGGAUCGUAAAACUCUGUUGUUAGAGAAGAACAAGUGCUAGAGUAACUGUUAGCGCCUUGACGGUAUCUAAACAGAAAGCCACGGCUAACUACGUG